CUGAAUGGCCAGAUUGUAGUGAGACGCAGCCUGGGUAUUGUGAAGAGAGGCUGAAGUCAGAACCAGUUCCCCCAAUGAGCAAUGGUGUGAGCCCUAGGUUGACUCUGUGCUUGAAUUCCCUCCACAGUAAAUUGAAGGUAAUAAUAGGUUAUUUUGCAAACUUCAUGUGAGGAUUAAAUGCUAUUAUACGUGCAAACCUUGUAAAUGGAAAAGCUUACCACAAUUGCUCCAUAAAUCUUAUCUAUUAAGUUCAAGCAUGGGGCACCUGGGAUCCACGGAACACCCACUUCUAAGUUCUCUAUCCUAUCCCCAUGGAAUCUUAACUUGAUCUGGAUGCAUGAUGUCUUAAUCAUAUACUUUAGGCUGUCUCCUUUUUUUUUUUAAUUAAAAAAAAUUCUUUUUUGUCUUUUUAGGGCUGCAUCUGAGGCAUAUGGAAGUUCCCAGGCUAGGGGUUGAAUCGGAGCUGCAGCCACCGGCCUACACCAGAGCCACAGCAACGCGGGAUCCGAGCCGCGUCUGCAACCUACACCACAGCUCACGGCAACGCUGGAUCGUCAACCCACUGAGUAAGGGCAGGGACCGAACCCGCAACCUCAUGGUUCCUAGUUGGAUUUGUUAACCACUGUGCCAUGAUGGGAACUCCCGAAAAGGGGCCCUUCUUGCUACCCUAUUUAUAGCACUUAGAAUAUUGCCUGGACCAAAACCCAUUAUUCCUAAAUAAGUAUAUAUGGAAUAAACAAAGGAACUUAUAUGAGGGGCAGGCAAAUCAGUGGUGGUACUCUCCAUGCAAAUUUGAGCCAGUUUGGUUUUUUUUCCCCCCAGAUCAGGAGUCCACCUGGUGGUCAUAGCGGGAAAAACAUUCAGGGGAAGGAUAAGGAAGCAAGAGAGGAAACAUCUGCUUUCAGCCCCCUGUCCACAAGCUUAGAAUUUUCCUGUCUCUGUGCAUUUUCUAUCUUUUCUUUUCUUUUCUUUUUUGUCUUUUUUAGGGCCACACCCGUGGCAUAUGGAACCCUCCUCCUGGAUGGAGCCCUCCUUCUGGAUACUAGUUGGGUUUGUUACCACUAAGCCACAACAGGAACUCCUGUGUACAUUUUCUUUUUUUAAAACGUUUUAAAAUAAAGUAUAGU
ensembl:lncRNA